rnacentral:tRNA from 1 species
GGGGGCGUAGCUCAGUGGCAGAGCAGGGGACUCUUAAUCCCUUGGUCGCGGGUUCGAGUCCCGCCGCCCUCACCA